UGUUGUGGUUUGUUAUUGUUGAAAAUAACGGACUCCCUCUCUCUGGCCACACUCCUGACGCACCCUCUGCGACUCUCUUAGUCCCGACUUGCCUUUCUCUGCAGGUAUCUGCACAUCUGAGCUAUGAAUUCCGCGUAGGAGACGCAUUUCCAUGAGAAACGGGCAUUGUGUUAGAGAGCUUCAUUCCCCACAACGUACCCACCCAGAUGCAGUGCUUCCUGGAAUGAACCAUGGUCUCCGUUUUUAUUCAAGAAUGCUUCCGGAUUUCGGGAAGAUGUCUGCUAGCGUUUGGAUAGUAAAUACAUUCUUUAAAAGCUCGGGGAUACUCUAGGCUGCUGGGAUGUUAGGGAGAAGAGUCACACCAUUCUCAAGCUCUGCAGGAGCUGGCCAUGGUUGAAUGUAGUGAGUUGCUUCUUCAU
rnacentral:lncRNA from 1 species